rnacentral:rRNA from 1 species
ACGAACGCUGGCGGCGUGCUUAACACCUGCAAGUCGCACGGAAAGGCCCUGCUUUUGUGGGGUGCUCGAGUGGCGAACGGGUGAGUAACACGUGAGUAACCUGCCCUUGACUUUGGGAUAACUUCAGGAAACUGGGGCUAAUACCGGAUAGGAGCUCCUGCUGCAUGGUGGGGGUUGGAAAGUUUCGGCGGUUGGGGAUGGACUCGCGGCUUAUCAGCUUGUUGGUGGGGUAGUGGCUUACCAAGGCUUUGACGGGUAGCCGGCCUGAGAGGGUGACCGGCCACAUUGGGACUGAGAUACGGCCCAGACUCCUACGGGAGGCAGCAGUGGGGAAUAUUGCACAAUGGGCGGAAGCCUGAUGCAGCAACGCCGCGUGCGGGAUGACGGCCUUCGGGUUGUAAACCGCUUUCGCCUGUGACGAAGCGUGAGUGACGGUAAUGGGUAAAGAAGCACCGGCCAACUACGUG